rnacentral:rRNA from 1 species
AUCUGGGCGACGGAAUUCAGGACGGCUGGCGGGUCUCGCGCUCGUCCGGCCGUUUGAUAUUUCCGUCGCCGUGUCAGACGUCGCGACCUGAUUUGUCGUCGGUCCUUGCUCGGAGGAAUCGCGAUCGAGUUCGUUGCGGGCGCGCCUCGGUGUGUUCCGCGGCGAAGACGCGACUCUCUGGCUGACGACGGACAGUAAGCAACGGUGGCCGGCGUCGUGUCUCGCACUCGGCGUCGGUACCGGUCAGCGACGAUUUCUUCGGGCCUCUUUCCGACCCGUCUUGAAACACGGACCAAGGAGUCUAACAUGCGCGCGAGUCGCGGGGUUUCGAGCGUGCCACGGUGCGCUCGUUACUUCCGAAACCCGUACGUUGAAGGCGUAAUGAAAGUGAACAGGGAAGAUGGCGUUCCGAGUCCACGUACCGUGAUCGAGUAUCGCGGCCGGACGCCCGCACUCCCGGGGCGUCUCAAUGGCUCGCCACGGAUGCGGACGGUCGUCUUUCGGGGCGGUCGUCGGUCUGUGGCGGGCCGA